rfam:Candidatus Thrbacteria bacterium RIFCSPHIGHO2_12_FTLL_57_11 rifcsphigho2_12_scaffold_25526, whole genome shotgun sequence.
GGGCGCGUAGCUCAGCUGGUAGAGCACUAUCCUUACACGAUAGGGGUCUCAGGUUCGAUCCCUGACGCGCCCA